rnacentral:rRNA from 1 species
AGAGUGCGUAAUAGCUCACUAGUCGAGAGGUCCUGCGCCGAAAAUGUCCGGGGCUGAAACAUGCUGCCGAAGCUGCGGAACCGCAAGGUUGGUAGAGGAGCAUUGAAUGCGGGAAGAAGCUGUACCGAAAGGAGCAGUGGACUGCAUUGAAGAGAGAAUGCCGGAAUGAGUAGCGAGAAAUAGGUGAGAAUCCUAUUGGCCGAAUAUCCAAGGAUUCCAGGGUAAAGCUGAUCUGCCCUGGGUAAGUCGGGGCCUAAGGCGAGGUCGGAAGACGUAGCCGAUGGACAACAGGUAGAGAUUCCUGUACUGCAUAUGGUCAGAACUGUGGGGACACGGGGUGUUAACGGAAGCCGGGAAAGGAAAGACCGGUCCAAGCACAGGAGGCGUUGCGCAGGCAAAUCCGCGCAAUAAGCCAAAGGUGUGACGGGGAGCGAAAUUAUAGUAGCGAAGUCCGGAUACAUGCUGUCAAGAAAAGCCGCUAUUGCGCCAUAUGUACCCGUACCGUAAACCGACACAGGUGGAUGAGGAGAGAAUCCUAAGGCCGGCGGGAGAAGCAUUGUUAAGGAACUCGGCAAAAUGACCCCGUAACUUCGGGAGAAGGGGUGCCUGCGAGAGCAGGCCGCAGAGAAUAGGCUCAAGCAACUGUUUAGCAAAAACACAGGUCUAUGCGAAACCGAAAGGUGAGGUAUAUGGGCUGACGCCUGCCCGGUGCUGGAAGGUUAAGAGGAGAGGUUAGCGUAAGCGAAGCUUUGAAUUUAAGCCCCAGUAAACGGCGGCCGUAACUAUAACGGUCCUAAGGUAGCGAAAUUCCUUGUCGGGUAAGUUCCGACCCGCACGAAAGGCGUAAUGAUUUGAGCACUGUCUCGACAAUGCAUCCGGUGAAAUUGAAGUACCAGUGAAGAUGCUGGUUACCUGCGCCAGGACGGAAAGACCCCAUGGAGCUUUACUCCAGUCUGGUACUGGGACUCGGUAUUGCAUGUACAGGAUAGGUGGGAGGCUAGGAGAUGGUAACGCCAGUUGCCAUGGAGCCGCUGUUGGGAUACCACCCUUGCAGUAUUGGGUUUCUAACCAGCCGCCGUGACCCGGCGGUGGGACAAUGCCAGACGGGGAGUUUGACUGGGGCGGUCGCCUCCGAAAGGGUAUCGGAGGCGCCCAAAGGUUCCCUCAGAAUGGACGGAAACCAUUCGAAGAGUGCAAAGGCAGAAGGGAGCUUGACUGCGACACCGACGG